rnacentral:rRNA from 1 species
GUAGUUAGCCGGGGCUUCCUCCUCAGGUACCGUCACUUCCUUCGUCCCUGAGGACAGAGGUUUACAAUCCGAAAACCUUCUUCCCUCACGCGGCGUUGCUGGGUCAGGCUUUCGCCCAUUGCCCAAUAUUCCCCACUGCUGCCUCCCGUAGGAGUCUGGACCGUUUCUCAGUUCCAGUGUGGCCGAUCACCCUCUCAGGUCGGCUACUGAUCGUCGCCUUGGUGGGCCGUUACCUCACCAACUAGCUAAUCAGACGCGAGCUCACCCCUCAGCGGAUUGCUCCUUUGACCCCUUCGCCAUGUGGCGCUGUGGUCUCAUGCGGUAUUAGCAGAUGUUUCCAUCUGUUAUCCCCCUCUGUGGGACAGAUUGCUCACGCGUUACUCACCCGUCCGCCGCUCGAUAAGAGACCGAACCCUUACCUCGCUCGACUUGCAUGUGUUAGGCACGCCGCCACGCGUCGUCCUCGAGCAGAUACAACUACUGA